GCUCUCUCAAAUUCGUCAAGUAUUCCUUUCUCCAUCUCUCCCAAAAGUGAACUCGCAGUUUCGCUAGAUGCCUAAACCUACGCUUAACCUUUGUCUCAUCAUUCUCUUCAAUUUUGUAACUAGUCUCGUCUGGAAUUAAACUCAAUCUACGACCAAAGAUUAGAUGAUUCGGUGUUAGCACAUCGUUUUCAACCUCAUCGUAAAUGUAGGUUAACGGUCUAGAAUUCAACGUGCCUUCAACCUCAACUAAAGUCGUCAACAGUUCUUCGAAUGUCAACUUGGCAUUCCCCAGCACCUUACGUAAACACCUCUUCACCAAACCAACCAACCUUUCAAAGAAUCCUCCCCACCAAGGCGCUCUCUCUAAAUUAAACUGCCAUUUCACACAAUUAUCUUGCAUAUAAGCUCUCACAUUCCCGCUCUCGUACAACUUCUUCACUGCUUU